UGGGGAAUUUUGCGCAAUGGGCUAACGCCUGACGCAGCAACGCCGCGUGGAGGAUGAAGGUCUUUGGAUUGUAAACUCCUGUCAGCGGGGAAAAAGCGACUUGGUCUAAUACGCCAGGGAGUUGAUUGUACCCGCAGAGGAAGCCCCGGCUAACUCUGUUCCAGCAGCCGCGGUAAUACAGAGGGGGCAAGCGUUAUUCGGAAUUAUUGGGCGUAAAGGGCGCGUAGGCGGCUUUGCAAGUGGCGGGUGAAAUCCCUCGGCUUAACCGAGGAACUGCCUGCCAGACUGUGAGGCUUGAGACCGGGAGAGGUGAGUGGAAUUCCCAGUGUAGCGGUGAAAUGCGUAGAUAUUGGGAGGAACACCAGUGGCGAAGGCGGCUCACUGGACCGGAACUGACGCUGAUGCGCGAAAGCGUGGGGAGCAAA
rnacentral:rRNA from 1 species